rnacentral:lncRNA from 1 species
AAAUACUAUUAAAUAUUGAGCAGAUGGCUUCAUCUCAAAGAAAAAACAUCCUUUGAUAAGAAGUAAUACGUUCAGAAGGACUUAAGAGCAAGGACACCCACCACAGCGUGUGGGCUAUUUUGGAGCAAGCUGCCUGAGAAUGGCGCCGCUCAGCUCAUUUCACACUGCUGUCAUCUGGGGGCUCAGUCAAGGGGCAGUCUCCCUUAAGAUAAACAGCAUCACAGGAGGUCACUGCUACACCAAAGGGUUCGGCGUGGUUGUGCACGGGGAACUGAACUGAGAGAGGCUGAGAUUUUUUGCCCCAUAAAUCACAGAGCCUUUGGUGGCACUGGGAACUGAAUCAAGAUUUCCAGAGUCUCUGCUCAGCACCUCCAUCUAUUCUUCAAAGUUUCUGAUGAAAGAUCAGCCACCGUGCCCAAGCAGUGCUGAGAAUACCAACAAAGCUGUCACGAGACAACACCUUGAUGGAACAUGGGGACCUUUAAGUUGGAGCUGUACAAGCAAACCAGAUAAGAAAUGUUUUCAAAAUACACACGAGAAGCACUACAGUGAUAGGAAAAAUGAUUAUUUGCACAUUCUUCAUUGUUUUAAACAGCCGAUACAAUUAAAGUAGAUAUUGUAUUAAAACAAUGGGAUUUCACGUCAUGCUGGCUGUGUUAUUUAUCUUUGAAUGAACUUUCUGCUUUUCCAUUUAUGAAACUACGCGGAUUUCUUUAUGCAUGCUGCUUAUUUUUCUUCACGUGUCGUAUGGUCAGGACAAAACUGCUCACAGCAGGAAUUGAUUACCAGCCAGUCACUUCAAGCCAUGUGCUCUUCCU